AUUGAACGCUGGCAGCAUGCUUUACACAUGCAAGUCGAACGGUAACAGGCCGCAAGGUGCUGACGAGUGGCGAACGGGUGAGUAAUGCAUCGGAACGUGCCCAGUCGUGGGGGAUAACUACUCGAAAGAGUAGCUAAUACCGCAUACGAUCUAUGGAUGAAAGCGGGGGACCGUAAGGCCUCGCGCGAUUGGAGCGGCCGAUGUCAGAUUAGGUAGUUGGUGGGGUAAAGGCUCACCAAGCCAACGAUCUGUAGCUGGUCUGAGAGGACAACCAGCCACACUGGGACUGAGACACGGCCCAGACUCCUACGGGAGGCAGCAGUGGGGAAUUUUGGACAAUGGGCGCAAGCCUGAUCCAGCAAUGCCGCGUGCAGGAAGAAGGCCUUCGGGUUGUAAACUGCUUUUGUACGGAACGAAACGGCUCUGGUUAAUACCCGGGGCUAAUGACGGUACCGUAAGAAUAAGCACCGGCUAACUACGUG
rnacentral:rRNA from 1 species